UUCCAGAUUAACCUUGCCUCA
rnacentral:piRNA from 1 species